rnacentral:tRNA from 1 species
GUCCUAAUAGUAUAUACUAUUACCUUGGUCUUGUAAACCAAAAAUGAAGAACAAAUCUUCUUAGGACA